rnacentral:piRNA from 1 species
UAGAACUUCUCAAAAAAUAAC